AGGGUCACUUUGGGUGCUGACACCAUUGU
rnacentral:piRNA from 1 species